AAUGUAUGCAAUGUCUUUAUUUCAUCCUCAUUCUUAAAGGAUAUUUUCAUCAGCAACACCACACCCUCCUGAUCACCAUAGCUUUAUGGUAAGACACCCCUACUCUGUCCAGACCCAACUGUCAACAGAAGCCAAAGCCAUCUGGAGGAGCAUGCAACAACAAGAAACAAAUUUAUUAGCUAACCUAACCACUAAUGACGCAAGAGACAAUUCUAAGGACUUUCAAAACAGCAAAGUAGGAGCAGCUGCUACCUCUAGGGAUGAGGGAUGCAAUUGUCCAAUUAUUGGUGAAAUUGUCAUUUCAUGCUAUUGGCUAUUUGAAAUUCCUCCUCUAAUUUCAGAAUAAAUCACUGAAAUUGACAUCGGCCAGUCUGAAUUUCAAGAAAUUACCUGCUGAAGACAAGAGGGAUCUCUUCUUCAGAUUUGCAGUCUGGGGAAGACACAGCCUCUACUGUACUUUAGAACCUGAGAUAUGGUGGUGGAGGGAGCCCUGGGUCGAGUGGUCAGAGCUCCGGACUCCAGCCCCAUGCAACUUCAAAAUAUGACAAAUGUCUUGAAGGGGAGAUUGGCAUGCAGAUGAGGAAGGCCCUCUCGCCAACACAUUUGUAUUUCCUCUGUACUGUGAGACUGUGGGAGAUUUACUGCGACAUUUAGAAGCUUUCUUCCAAACUCCUGGGCCUCCGACACUGGUUCUAAACUCAGCAAAUGUUCUUUGGGAAAAACAGACAGUGCAUGUGAGGCCCCUCGAGUUUGGAAUUUAUGUCUCCAGCUUCACAUGGUCUCUCAAGUGCUUAUGCUUUUCUUCUCUCUGCCACCCACAUUCCCACAUCCCGCCCACCCCCCAACUUUCCUCCCUUCACCUUCCCAUGGAGACUUUUUGCCUGGGCUAAAUCUGAUCCUCAGCCCACUCUCAGAAUCGAUAAAUGCCCCUAGGUGAUUGUAAGCUCACCUAAGAUAUACUUUUUCUCCUCUAGAAUUUUAGUUUAUUAGAUUUUUCUAGUUGUCUUUGCAAAAGCGUUAACAGGCUCUGACUUCUGACAUUCAACUAGAUGUGGAAUAUCCAACCCCUAGCAUUUCAUGGAAUGUACUGACCAAGAUAAAAUGUGUUCUUAUUAAACAAUGCCAUUUCUUGACCACUUCUGUUUUUAGGAAUUGUGGUAUCUGAGUCAUGGUGAUUAGAAGUACUAAUGAAAUAAAUGGGAAAAUUAAACUUCUACUAACAUUUCAUAUAGUAGGGAGAUGUCUGUGAAGAAUUAUAACUGGUACAGAUUUUGUGUUUAUAAACAAGGAGACAGAAAAUGCAGAAAAUAAAAAAUAUUUUAUUUAGUUUUAAA
rnacentral:lncRNA from 1 species